rnacentral:rRNA from 1 species
AACAGCUCAAAUUUGAAAUCUGGCCUUCUGGUCCGAAUUGUAAUUUGUAGAGGAUGAUUUUGGUGCGGUACCUUCCGAGUUCCUUGGAACAGGACGCCUUAGAGGGUGAGAGCCCCGUACGGUUGGAUGCCUAGCCUUUGUAAAUCUCCUUCGACGAGUCGAGUAGUUUGGGAAUGCUGCUCUAAAUGGGAGGUAAAUUUCUUCUAAAGCUAAAUAUUGGCCAGAGACCGAUAGCGCACAAGUAGAGUGAUCGAAAGAUGAAAAGCACUUUGAAAAGAGGGUUAAAUAGCACGUGAAAUUGUUGAAAGGGAAGGAUUUAUGACCAGACUUUUUCUAGGCGGAUCAUCCGGUGUUCUCACCGGUGCACUUUGUCUAGUUUAGGCCAGCAUCGAUUUUCGGCAGCGGAUAAAAGCUUCAGGAAUGUGGCUCCUCCGGGAGUGUUAUAGCCUGUUGUAUAAUACGCCGCUGGGGAUCGAGGUACGCGCUUCUGCAAGGAUGCUGGCGUAAUGGUUAUCAAUCACCCGUCUUGAAACACGGACCAAGGAGUCGAACAUUUAUGCGAGUGUUUGGGUGUUAAACCCUCACGCGUAAUGAAAGUGAACGGAGGUGAGAGCCCUUACGGGUGCAUCAUCGACCGAUCCUGAUGUUUUCGGAUGGAUUUGAGUAAGAGCAUAACUGUUCGGACCCGAAAGAUGGUGAACUAUGCGUGGAUAGGGUGAAGCCAGAGGAAACUCUGGUGGAGGCUCGCAGC